rnacentral:rRNA from 1 species
AUUGAACGCUGGCGGCAGGCCUAACACAUGCAAGUCGGGCGGUAGAGAGAGGCUUGCUUCUCUUGAGAGCGGCGGACGGGUGAGUAAUGCCUAGGAAUCUGCCUGGUAGUGGGGGAUAACGUUCGGAAACGGACGCUAAUACCGCAUACGUCCUACGGGAGAAAGCAGGGGACCUUCGGGCCUUGCGCUAUCAGAUGAGCCUAGGUCGGAUUAGCUAGUUGGUGAGGUAAUGGCUCACCAAGGCGACGAUCCGUAACUGGUCUGAGAGGAUGAUCAGUCACACUGGAACUGAGACACGGUCCAGACUCCUACGGGAGGCAGCAGUGGGGAAUAUUGGACAAUGGGCGAAAGCCUGAUCCAGCCAUGCCGCGUGUGUGAAGAAGGUCUUCGGAUUGUAAAGCACUUUAAGUUGGGAGGAAGGGUUGUAGAUUAAUACUCUGCAAUUUUGACGUUACCGACAGAAUAAGCACCGGCUAACUCUGUGCCAGCAGCCGCGGUAAUACAGAGGGUGCAAGCGUUAAUCGGAAUUACUGGGCGUAAAGCGCGCGUAGGUGGUUUGUUAAGUUGGAUGUGAAAUCCCCGGGCUCAACCUGGGAACUGCAUUCAAAACUGACUGACUAGAGUAUGGUAGAGGGUGGUGGAAUUUCCUGUGUAGCGGUGAAAUGCGUAGAUAUAGGAAGGAACACCAGUGGCGAAGGCGACCACCUGGACUAAUACUGACACUGAGGUGCGAAAGCGUGGGGAGCAAACAGG